GCUUAAUCUGCUCCCAUCCCCACGAAGUCCUAUAACUGUAAUCUCGAUAACGAGAUCUCCCCUAGUGUUAGUUCGAUCUACCAGCCUCCUCCUCACCGCCUCCCGCCGCGACACCCCCGGCCCUCCUCCCUCAGUGUCGUCUCCAAUGUCCCCAUCCAUACGCAUCUCCAUCUUGGCCACCCUCGUCAGCGCGUCGAGGGGAUGCCGAUGGUUUUCGUCGGAGGAUUCAUGGGCGGCGGAUCGAUCCGUCUCUAACCGCUGGUGCAGAUCCUGGUGAAAGUGGAUCCGUUCUACUCCAUGCCAGCAUCGGGGCUCGAGCGAACCAGACGCCCACCGGAUGCCCAACACCCAGCCGCCACCGCAGCUGUCAAUCGCCUUCACCAGGCGACGCUCCCGUCCCACGGCUGUUGCUUGACUUGCUUCACUGUUUAAGACGAACGGGUUAGUCCUCUCUCAUGGUGUCUCCCUAAUCUGCAGGACAUGAUGUAAUACGUAGUAGGCUGGGCGUGUUGGAUUGCUACGCUGCUAGUCGAGAUUUGAACAGGAAUCAAGUAAUCACUAAUCAGUUUUUUCUUAUCAGAUCGUCGGAUUAGUAGUGGUUUUCAGUCUGAAGUAGCACUAGUGAUUUGUCUUGACUUAAGAAACACACGAUAUGUCCACGAUGUUACAAUAUGUUUAGAAAAAAACAUUUGCUAACCUAAUUGCUACUGGUUUCGACAUGUGAAACCACUCGAGCAGGUAUGAUUCUCUUUUCUACUAUGAUACUGCAGCCAAUUGACUCGUUCUGUGUCCUGCAGCAAGAAUGAAAAAUUUGGUCUACUCCCCUUAUGUGUACCAGACGAAAUGAACAUCACGCGUUGGAGAUUUGGAUCUGGCGCUAACUAUGAGGAAACAUGAAAUUAUAUGAUUUUGUGUGGCGUGCGAAUUUUGUGCCUAUGUGGUUCAAGUUACCAAUUCAUUGCUGCUUUUCGCUAAUCUCUUAUAUAUAUUAAGCAUUUCCUCUCAGAUUUCUUGUUCUUGAAUCUUCAUAAUUCAAGAAGGAAGCAAUUGUAAUUAGGGGACAUGUGGGAAGGACUAGAGGUUUCUACUAUCUCAGAUCGAUUCAAUAUUGUACCCAUUUAAAGAAAUUUAGUACCAUAUGUGUGCAGAUUGCAGGUUUCUUAGUUCGCUAUAAUAAUGAUGUGUGCAGGUUGCAGGUUUCCUAGUAAGCAUGAUUUAAUUGGAAAAAUAAAGUUACAUAAGAAUUGCUAUCUCCUGCUUUCGGCGGCUUGUACAGAUAUCUUAAGUUUAUGAUAGAAACUUAUUUGCCAAUUCAUAUCCUGUCAUAUAUGCAGACGGUAAGUGUUAAAUACCCUGUCAUAUAUGCAGCUUGUAUGUUACCCUUUACUUACUUUGAAGGAGAGAAUGAAAAUAUUUAUUUAUUUACCCUUCGUAUACUCACAUGGCUUCCUUGCACAGAGUUCAUGUGUGCUGACGACCGGCAUGUGCCGACGGUUAGCUCCGCUGCCGGUCGACGAGGACCUCUGUGCCGACGUCCCCGACAUUUGGCCGUCGACACAUCGCCUGGCCGUCGGCACACAUGAACUCUCCCGUGGUGAGGUGGGCAGCCCACGAGCAAGUGAAGCAUUAUUUGUCGCUAGAUCCUAAUAUGUAUGACUCUUUUAUCUAUUGCACAUUUUGGUGUGUAUAUGAUCAAGCAGUUUACUACAAGGUUGAUAUUUUGCUUCUGAAGUGCUUGAUCUUUUGCUUAUAUUAUUUUCUAAAAUUUCUGUAGCUGAUUUUAGUAACAUGAAUUCAGUCCAUUGCAACCUAAUUUCUGCAUCAUAGAUGAGAAAUGAUAUUGCAGUUUUGCUUGCGAUAUUAUGCUUUCAUCUAGUAUUUACUAAAAAAAACUAUCAUUUCUUAAGAAUAACAUGAAGCAUGUUAUCGUUAUAUGUUCCUUUUAUUAUGGCAGGACAAGUAGUAACUAACAUCCGAGCAACAUGUGAUGUGUCCCUGUUACAUUAUUUUCAUAUGCUCAUAUUGGUGCACCUCGACUCUCCUUCUGUAUUUCCAUGUGUGGUACCGACUUGACAUCUAGGUGCCAUGGGCUGUUCUAAAUGCACGGGAUAGCACAAAUUAUCUUGCAUGACUUGGCUUUGGCAUGCUACUGAGGUGUUUUCAAAGAAAUUCCAAGCAAUAUGUGGAUGCGAAUUUAAAGGCCCAAAAGAUCAGCAAGAACUGCAACAUUCAAAUGCUACAUUAGAAGGAACAGGACUAGAAGGAAUAUAUAUAGGAUUAGAUAGAAUAUAAUAGUAUGAUGCAAAAUUAUAAGAUGUGUACUGUAAAUAUAUUUUUCGUGUAUGGAUGAUGAUUUUAAUUAUAAAUAUUGAAAUGUUUCUUCA